GACGAACGCUGGCGGCGUGCCUAAUACAUGCAAGUAGAACGCUGAAGGAGGAGCUUGCUCUUCUGGAUGAGUUGCGAACGGGUGAGUAACGCGUAGGUAACCUGCCUGGUAGCGGGGGAUAACUAUUGGAAACGAUAGCUAAUACCGCAUAAGAGUAGAUGUUGCAUGACAUUUGCUUAAAAGGUGCAAUUGCAUCACUACCAGAUGGACCUGCGUUGUAUUAGCUAGUUGGUGGGGUAACGGCUCACCAAGGCGACGAUACAUAGCCGACCUGAGAGGGUGAUCGGCCACACUGGGACUGAGACACGGCCCAGACUCCUACGGGAGGCAGCAGUAGGGAAUCUUCGGCAAUGGACGGAAGUCUGACCGAGCAACGCCGCGUGAGUGUAGAAGGUUUUCGGAUCGUAAAGCUCUGUUGUAAGAGAAGAACGAGUGUGAGAGUGGAAAGUUCACACUGUGACGGUAUCUUACCAGAAAGGGACGGCUAACUACGUGCCAGCAGCCGCGGUAAUACGUAGGUCCCGAGCGUUGUCCGGAUUUAUUGGGCGUAAAGCGAGCGCAGGCGGUUAGAUAAGUCUGAAGUUAAAGGCUGUGGCUUAACCAUAGUACGCUUUGGAAACUGUUUAACUUGAGUGCAAGAGGGGAGAGUGGAAUUCCAUGUGUAGCGGUGAAAUGCGUAGAUAUAUGGAGGAACACCGGUGGCGAAAGCGGCUCUCUGGCUUGUAACUGACGCUGAGGCUCGAAAGCGUGGGGAGCAAACAGG
rnacentral:rRNA from 1 species